AUUGAACGCUGGCGGCAUGCCUUACACAUGCAAGUCGAACGGUAACGCGGGGCAACCUGGCGACGAGUGGCGAACGGGUGAGUAAUGCAUCGGAACGUGCCCAGUAGUGGGGGAUAGCCCGGCGAAAGCCGGAUUAAUACCGCAUACGACCUGAGGGUGAAAGGGGGGGAUCGCAAGACCUCUCGCUAUUGGAGCGGCCGAUGUCAGAUUAGCUAGUUGGUGGGGUAAAGGCCUACCAAGGCAACGAUCUGUAGUUGGUCUGAGAGGACGACCAGCCACACUGGGACUGAGACACGGCCCAGACUCCUACGGGAGGCAGCAGUGGGGAAUUUUGGACAAUGGGCGCAAGCCUGAUCCAGCAAUGCCGCGUGCAGGAAGAAGGCCUUCGGGUUGUAAACUGCUUUUGUCAGGGAAGAAAUCUUCUGGGUUAAUACCUCGGGAGGAUGACGGUACCUGAAGAAUAAGCACCGGCUAACUACGUGCCAGCAGCCGCAGUAACAC
rnacentral:rRNA from 1 species